rnacentral:rRNA from 1 species
AUUGAACGCUGGCGGAAUGCUUUACACAUGCAAGUCGAGCGGCAGCGCGGGGGCAACCCUGGCGGCGAGCGGCGAACGGGUGGGUAAUACAUCGGAACGUGUCCUUAAGUGGGGGAGUAGCUCGGCGAAAGCCGGAUUAAUACCGCAUAAGCUCUGAGGAGGAAAGCGGGGGCUCCGUAAGGACCUCGCGCUGUUGGAGCGGCCGAUGUCGGAUUAGCUAGUUGGUGGGGUAAAGGCCCACCAAGGCGACGAUCCGUAGCUGGUCUGAGAGGAUGAUCAGCCACACUGGAACUGAGACACGGUCCAGACUCCUACGGGAGGCAGCAGUGGGGAAUUUUGGUACAAUGGGGGCAACCCUGAUCCAGCCAUUCCGCGUGA